ACCCAACUGACGAGUCCUAAAUGGAAUGAAAUGCUCAUCCUGGAU
rfam:Schistosoma rodhaini strain Burundi genome assembly, scaffold: SROB_scaffold0008936